AAAACUUACCGGGUCAAGACAUGGGCGUGAUUGACAGGCUAAUGACUUUUCUCGAUUCCAUGGAUGGUGGUGCAUGGUCGCACUUAGUUGGUGCAGUGAUUUGUCAGGUUUAUUCCGGUAACGAACGAGACCUCGGCCUUGUAAAUAGCUAUGCUGCUUACAGGGACAUUGGCGGCUACGCCAAGGAAGCUCGAGGCAAUUGCAGAUCUGGAAUGCCCUUAGAUGCCCUGGGUCGCACGCGUGCUACAAUGACGCCACGAACGAGCUUGCGUGAUGAAAGUUACGCAUAAUCAGCAGUCGGCGUCUUAAGGGAUAGUCUCUUGUAACUGUGGGACUCCAACUAGGAAUGUCUCGUAAGCACAAGUCAACAUCUUGUGUUGAUUACGUCCCUGCUCUUUGUACACACCGCCCGUCGCUCCUACCGAUCGAGUGUUUAGGUGAAUUUGAUGGACGUAAGGAAGUCAAAUAAACCUGAGCACUAGAGAAGAGAAGUCGACAUG
rnacentral:rRNA from 1 species